rnacentral:rRNA from 1 species
GACGAACGCUGGCGGCGUGCUUAACACAUGCAAGUCGAACGGAAAGGCCCUGCUUUUGUGGGGUGCUCGAGUGGCGAACGGGUGAGUAACACGUGAGUAACCUGCCCUUGACUUUGGGAUAACUUCAGGAAACUGGGGCUAAUACCGGAUAGGAGCUCCUGCUGCAUGGUGGGGGUUGGAAAGUUUCGGCGGUUGGGGAUGGACUCGCGGCUUAUCAGCUUGUUGGUGGGGUAGUGGCUUACCAAGGCUUUGACGGGUGGCCGGCCUGAGAGGGUGACCGGCCACAUUGGGACUGAGAUACGGCCCAGACUCCUACGGGAGGCAGCAGGGGGGAAUAUUGCACAAUGGGCGGAAGCCUGAUGCAGCAACGCCGCGUGCGGGAUGACGGCCUUCGGGUUGUAAACCGCUUUCGCCUGUGACGAAGCGUGAGUGACGGUAAUGGGUAAAGAAGCACCGGCUAACUACGUG